AGGACGAGGUAGCUGUGUAAUUGUUUUUACGUCUUUCAGAGUUUCCAUUCCCUGUUUAGAGAUGCAAAGGGCUGGCAUGCCAGCACUGUAACAGAAACACAGACAACAGGGCUGGAAGCGAUCUCGGAAAACCACGUAAAUUCUCUCACCUCUUGCCCCAAGCAAAGCACUCGCUGCCUCAGUUUUCUCCUCUGUAAAAUAUGGAUAUUACUGAUUCAUAAUAUCUGCCUGAUGGAGGAGUUUAAGCAUCACUGAAUGGGCUGAUGCGGCUCAUGGCAGGAGAAACUUGAUUCUCUGAGACCAGCCAGCACCUCGUCAGCCUCGCCUGGCUCUUCUGCAGGGAGAAUGCAGGAUUGCAUGGAAGGAGAUGGAUCAGAGGUUGGAAAUAGCACAGGCAAAGUGGGAAAGAAGCAGUUGUGGAGGAGGAUCAUGGAUACAAUCUAAAUUUCCAUCUAUGAGAAAAUAAUCCACUGUAAAUAUCACUUAGCUGAACACGAUCACUUGCCUGCAUCUGCAGAUAGUCUGAAAUAAGAGUGGUAUGACCAACUCCAGCCUCACACAAGCCGGUAUCGGCUCAAUUGCAAAUGCUCCCUCUCUUUAAUUACUACAGGACUGAUUACUGCAAGAGAAGAAAAAGAUACUCUGUUUAGAUCUGAGGAGUCUGGAGCUCGCAGUCUCACGUUUUGCCAUGAUCAAACAAUAACAUUUCGGUUACAGAAAGAGCUCGUAUCUCCUGGCUCCAGUCUUGUGCCUGGUAAGGAGUAAUAAUUCAUGUUUAGAAAGUACUACAUAAAACUCUAUCUCCAGAGGUUGUCAGGUUUACAUUGCAAAAAUAUAGGGUAAGCAGCACAGCUAUUAAUUGUUAAUAACUACCUCAGUAAUGAUUAAAAAAAAAGGGGGAAAAAAUGGCAAAGGGACUUGAAAAAGAAAAAAAAAAUCACUUGCUCACCACUGAAAGUGCUCAUCUGCACUUUGUCACGUUCUUGUCGUCUUUGACUCAUUUCCUGAGCGGACCUUGUAGCUGCCUGUGCGGUUGUGGUUUUACACCGUUGUGAAAACACCAUAAAACAAGCUGGGUUUUGUUAGAGGCUUUUGUAGGGGGUUGGUUGUUUGUUUUAACAACUUUGGUUCUGAUUCCCCAAUGUCGUUAGGACUAUUUAAAUGUUUGUCAUCACAACUCCAACAAAAAGUUGGUUUCUUAGGAAGUUGUAAGAUGCCAAAAUAGCCAAAGAAACAAACACAAGAAUAAAUCAAACCAGAAACCAAAAAUCUUAACUGUGCUUUACUGCGGGAGGUGUACACUGCAUGAAUACACCAUGAGCAAAUACCGGAGUUCAAUGACAAUGAAAAUACAACGCAUUUUGCAACAAACACAAGAAGAAGCAUGUCACUAAUGGGCACGUCGUGAAGUGGGGAGUUACUUGGGAUUUCCUCGAAGAGACGGAAGACUCUUGACAGAUCGGCAGGCUCGGAAAAUGUGCUGGCCUGUCUAGAGAAGCAUAUGCUGGGCAGGUAAGAAGGAAGAUUUUGAGGGAGAAGAUUCAAUCAGCUGUUUCUCUGGGAGGAAUAAUCCUCUGCAUUUAAUCUCAAUCUGUCCGUCACCUGCAGACUUGGAAAGCACGUGAUAAAUGUUACAGUCAUUCUCAGAGAAACCACAUACACGUACCGUCGUGCUGGAGGAUUCUUGCAUCUGUAUAGAGCUGGAGAUGGUAUUUGCUGUGGUAUUUUUGAAGACUUUCCCCUAUUAUUGAAAGACAUGACAAAAUUAAAGGUCUUGGGCAAAAUUUGGUCCUCUUGCUGCAAGAUCCCAAAGUGAUUAUGGGAGUUUUGCUGGAGCCGAGGGAAGGAUGGGGCAAGACAGCUUUGUGGGGGGUGACAUACACCUUGACAGUGUUGUAGAAUAAAGUAGACCUUUGGGUCAAG